ACGCUCGACACCUACGGGAGGCAGCAGUGGGGGAUAUUGCGCAAUGGGGGAAACCCUGACGCAGCAACGCCGCGUGAAGGACGAAGGUUUUCGGAUUGUAAACUUCUUUUGUUAGGGACGAAGAAAUGACGGUACCUGACGAAUAAGCUCCGGCUAACUACGUGUCAGCAGCCGCGGUAAUCUGAGCGGGCUGGCAAGGC
rnacentral:rRNA from 1 species